CCACCCAAGCGUCCCUAGGGGUAGCAGUUCUAAUGAGGAGCAGUAGUUGGCUUGAAGUUGCACCAACAGAGGUUUGUAUGCACCUGAUCUGACAUUUACAUCUCCCUUCCACAGUGAACUGACAUGUGACAGGUACUAGUCUUUAACCUAACAGAAGCUAAGCCAGGAGGUUAAUAACA